AACGAACGCUGGCGGCAUGCCUAACACAUGCAAGUCGAACGAGACCUUCGGGUCUAGUGGCGCACGGGUGCGUAACGCGUGGGAACCUGCCCUUAGGUUCGGAAUAACUCCCCGAAAGGGGUGCUAAUACCGGAUAAUGUCUUCGGACCAAAGAUUUAUCGCCUUUGGAUGGGCCCGCGUUGGAUUAGCUAGUUGGUAGGGUAAAAGCCUACCAAGGCGACGAUCCAUAGCUGGUCUGAGAGGAUGAUCAGCCACACUGGGACUGAGACACGGCCCAGACUCCUACGGGAGGCAGCAGUGGGGAAUAUUGGUCAAUGGGCGAAAGCCUGAUCCAGCAAUGCCGCGUGAGUGAUGAAGGCCUUAGGGUUGUAAAGCUCUUUUACCCGGGAUGAUAAGGACAGUACCGGGAGAAUAAGCUCCGGCUAACUCCGU
rnacentral:rRNA from 1 species